GCCGAUGUGGCUCAGAGGUAGAGCAGCUGUUUCGUAAACAGCAGGUCAGCGGUUCGAAUCCGCUCAUCGGCU
rnacentral:tRNA from 1 species